rnacentral:rRNA from 1 species
CAGCCGCCACGGUAAUACGGAGGGUGCAAGCGUUAAUCGGAAUUACUGGGCGUAAAGCGUGCGUAGGCGGCUUCUUAAGUCGGAUGUGAAAUCCCUGAGCUUAACUUAGGAAUUGCAUUCGAUACUGGGAAGCUAGAGUAUGGGAGAGGAUGGUAGAAUUCCAGGUGUAGCGGUGAAAUGCGUAGAGAUCUGGAGGAAUACCGAUGGCGAAGGCAGCCAUCUGGCCUAAUACUGACGCUGAGGUACGAAAGCAUGGGGAGCAAACAGGAUUAGAUACCCCUGUAGUCCCUGUCUCUUAUAC